rnacentral:lncRNA from 1 species
ACUGGGAGGGACUGGGAACACUGGGAUCAGAGCUGGAGUCAAACUGGGAUGAACUGGGACAGACUGGGAGGGGACUGGGUUAUACUGGGAGGGACUGGGAGCAUUGAGAUCACAGCUAGUGUCAAACUGGGAUGAACUGGGAGGGACAGGGAAGGAACUGGGAUAAACUGGGAUGGACUGGAGGAUACUGGGAUAUACUGGCUGGGGACUGGGGGGCUUAGUGGUCCAUACUGGUUUAUACUGGUCCAUACUGGUUUGCUCCCCACCUGCUCCUGCAGCGGUUUCAGCGCCACUCGGCGCCCCCUGGUGGCGGCGCUCAGGAACCGCAGGCGCUGCUGCAAAUGGAGCUGGCGAGGGAAACGGCAAAAAUCAACGGAAUUCACCCCAAAUUCACCCAAAAUAACCCAAAAAUCAACAAAAUGAACCCAAAAUUCCCUAGAAAUCAUAAAAAUUUGCCCAAAAAUCAACAGAAUUCACCCAAAAACAAACUCAAAAUUCCCCCAAAAUGAACCUAAAAUACACCAAAAUGAAACCAAAAUUAACCCAAAAUUAGCCCAAAAUCACCUACAUUACCCAAAAAUCAUCAGAAUUCACCCAAAAUUCAUCCAAAAUUCCCCAAAACCGUCCAGACUAACACAAAAAUCAACAAAAUUCACCCAAAAUUAACAGAAAAUGCACAAAAAUGCCCCCGAAAUCACCCAAAUUCACCCCAAAAUCCCCCUGAAAUCACCCAAAUUAACCCUGAAAUCCCCCUGAAAUCACCCAAAUUAACCCUGAAAUCCCCCAAAUUACCCCAAAAUUAACCCAAAAAUCACCAAAAUUUACCCAAAAAUACCCCCGAAAUCAUCCAGAUUAACACAAAAAAUCACCAAACAUCACUCCCAAAAUCAGCCAAAUUAACCCAAAAAUCCAUCCGAAAUUACUGAAAUUAACCAAAAAAUCACCGAGAUUAACUCAAAAAUUCCCCAAAAUCACCAAAAUUAAGCCAAAAAUCACCCAAAUUCACCCAAAUUAACCUAAAAUCAACAAAAUCAACCCAAAAAUCUCCCCAGAUCACCCAAAUUAACCCCAGAAUAACCAAAAUUAACUCAAAAAUCCCCCUGAGAUAACCCAAAUUAACCCAAAAUGACACAAAAUGCACUAAAAUUAACCGAAAAAUCCCACAAAUCCCCCCACAAUCACCCAAAUUAACCCAAAAUUUACCUAAAAAUACCCCAAAUUAACCCACAAUUAGCUCACAAUUUACCCCAAAUCACGAAAAUUAACCCAGAAAUCUCCCUGAAAUCACCCAAAUUGACCCCAAAUCAGCCAAAAUUAACCCUGAAAUUACCCCAAAUUAACCAAAAAAUCACCAAAAUUCACCCAAAAUACACCAA